rnacentral:tRNA from 1 species
GGAGGGGUGUCCGAGUGGCUAAUGGAGCUGGGCUGUAAACCCAGUGGCGUAUGCCUACGGGGGUUCGAAUCCCUCCCCCUCCACCA